AGCUUUUGCUACUAAAAGGACUGAAGUUAAAUUUAAGAACCCAGGUAGAAUAUUUCUGGAGAGUUAAAAACGUGAGUUUAAAUACAGUAGCUUUUAGUGUCUUGGAGAAUUUAAAGAACUUUACAUAAGUAAUUCAAGAUCAAGAAUUAACUACCACCUUAACAUUUUCGCAUUGGACUUUGAGCUAAGAUUUUUUAAAUCCUGAGGACUAGCGUUAAUUGGCAGCUGACCCAGGUACUACGCAGAAGUGGAUUCAGUGAAUCUAGGAAGACAGGAGCAGCAGACAGGAUUCCAGGAGCCAGUGUCGGUGAAGCUAGGACUGAGGAGCCAGCUGCAGUUCGUGGUGAAGAUAGGAAGGAAAGCGAAGUCCGGGAGCCAGUGCGGUUUGGUGACGGAAGGAAGCUAGGAAGAAAGAAGGAGCCCUAACGAUUGGAGGUGAAGCUAGGAGAGAGGAUUCCAGGAAGGAGCCAGUGCGAUGUGGUGAUGAAGCUAGCGAGCGGCUUGGCAGCUUGGCUUGGCGACCACGCGGAGGCGGCGAGCAGGCGGUGUGGAGAAUAGAUAGCGGAUCCUAGAGCAGCAUCCCAGAGUGCGAGGCCGCAGGGAGAGCGAGUGGUGUGGGAAAAACCCGAGAGGUCGGCGAGGUCGGCUAACGUGCUUUUUGUAACUGGAGUAUGGUAACCUUUCAUUUGCUUUUCUAAUGGUAACGGGGGAGUUGAGUACUGAAGCGCUAAGGGAUUUAUGGGGGUGUAGGCCGAUUUCCGGGUGUUGUAGGUUUCUCUUUUUCAGGCUUGUUUUCUCAUCUUGUCUGAAGCUUUUGAGGGCAGACUUCCAAGGCCCGGAGGAAUGGUAGAUGGCAAGUUUGUUUUUAACCAAUUUGAGGGAAACCAAAUGAAUUUGAUAGAACAACCUGGAGACUUAAGUUUUAUAAGUUUUUAUUUUUAGUUUGGGAAAAUGAAGCCUUUCAGUUUUGUGAAUAGAUGACCUAUUUUUCUUCCCUUACCCCGUAUUAAAGUUUAUACUGAAUGUGGAGUUGGGUGUGUAACGGGGGGGUUGGGAAUGGGGGGCAAAAUAUGUUUUGAGUUUUUUUCCCCUUAGGUCUGUCUAGAGUCCCAAAGGCAAAUGACUCAAGGUAACAGAAAGAAAGAAAAUCCAGUAUCAGGAUAAUCAGAACACCACAGGUUUACAGUUUCUAGAAAUAGAGCACGAGCAGCUCUCACUUUUCAGUUCUGUGGCGGAGCUCUCCAUUGGAGAAAUGGCUGGUAGUUCUCUUUUUUUCCACCUGUUUAUCAGAUUCUUAAUACAUAAUCCUUUAAAUUCACUAUAUUUACUUACUAUUUUGGGGUGGCCUUACCAGGGAAGGGGGGUGGGGGAGAAAAUUUUCUUUCUAAGAUUUUCCACAGAUGCUAUAGUACUAUUGACAAACUGGGUUAGAGAAGGAUUAUACUGCUAUGCUGUUGGCACGAACACCUUCAGGGAUUGGAGCUGCUUUUUUCCUUGGAAGAGUAUUCCCAGUUGAAGCUGAAAUGGUACAGCACAGUGCAGCUUUGGUUCAUGUUCAAUCUUCUCAGGAGCACUUCAGAAGAGCUUGACUAGGCCAAAUGUUGAAGUUACGUUUACGUUUUCAAGUAAUGUGACCUUUAACUUUUAUUAAAGGGGAGGGGCAAAUUUUGGCAGUUGGCCGUAGCCUGUUAAUGGUUGGGAUUUGGGAGGGUUGGGGUUAGGUAAUUGUUUAGUUUAUGAUUUCAGAUAACUCAUACCAGAGAACUUAAGUACUUAGGAUGGAAAAACUAAAGAAAUCUCAACUUCCAAGUUGGCAAGUAACUCCCAAUCCUCUAGUUUUUGUUUUCCCCCAAUUUUUGAAUUGGGCAGCUGGGGAAGUUCCUGAAGAUCCACUGGAUUCAGAGUGUAGGGCCUGGGGAAGGAGAGUAUAGGACUGGGGGUUGGUCUAGCCCAUUGGCUGACUUAGAUAAUAUCUUGGGGAUUUUUUUUUUUAAAUGGCUAAAGUUGUUUGGAUUUGGUAGUGUGUGGUUCUCUUUUGGAAUUUUUUUCAGGUGAUUUAAUAUAACUUAAUACUACUUUAGGAGCUUCAGAGCAAAGGAAGUGGCUUAAUGAUCCUGAAGGGAUUUCUUCUGAUGGUAGCUUUUAUAUUAUCAAGUAAGAUUCUAUUUUCAGUUGUGUGUAAGCAAGUUUCUUUUUUAGUGUAGGAAAAGUAUUUUUCCUUUGUAUGACUGCAAACAAGAUGUUAAGGUAUGCUUCAAAAUUACUGUAAAUUGUGUAUUUUAAUCAUUUCUGAUAAAGAGGGUGGGGUUUUGUGGAUGAGGGAGGGGAAACCUUUUUUUUUUCUGUAGCCUUUUUUCAGAUAACAACUUCUGAGGUCAUAACCAGCCUGGCAAUAUGAUGGCCUAGAUGGAGAGGGAACAGCUCCUUGGUGAAUGAUAAGUAAAGGCAGAAAAGAUUAUAUUUCAUACCUCCAUGGGGGAAAAAGCAUAAGUCUGAGAUCCUUAACUACUGAUGAACGCGUUGUCUGCACAUGCAAAAAAAAAAAAAAUUAAGCAAAUGAAACUACCAAUUUAAAGUUAAUGGAAAAAAAGAAAAAAGUAAAGAUAAUGGAAUCUACCAUUUUAAAAGUUAUGGCCUAUCAAGCUAUACCCACCAAAAAAAGAAUUGAUGAGAAAUAAUAUAAUGAAUUGAUGAGAAAUACAACGAAGAUCAGAUGUCCAUCUCAAAAUACUGCUUUUACAAAAGCAGAAUAAAAAAUGAAAUGAAAAUGAUAAUACCAACAUUAAUCCUGGAAUAAAAGAAGCUGAAGUAAUUCAGAGUGGGAUCAAGUGGAAUAAGGAGGCUGUGCUGUUUGCCAAUCUUUCGUUUGCCUCAGACAGGUUUCUCUUCGUUAUCAGAAGAGUUGCUUCAUUUCAUCUGGGAGCAGAAAACAGCAGGCAGCUGUUAACAGAUAAGUUGAACUUGGAUAUGCAGUAUUGCAUGUUAGGGCUAAGUGCUUACAUUUAAUAAGAGCUGUGGAGGUCUUAAGUAUUGAACAUGGCUGUUUUUCCUGCUCCCUCUCCUGAGGGAUUCUAGGGUUGUGAGGGAUUUUCCUAUCUAGCCUUUGUAAAAUUACACAGGACUUGAACCUGUGGCUUGCAUGAUGGGAUAGCAUACCUCACUCAGGCCAAGUAAUCUUUAAAAGCCUUGAAAGGUAGUACCUUAAUAAUCAUAAGACAGUGUUUAUAAAACAAAUAAUUUGUUGAGCACUGACUCUCUUAAAUCCUACAAAAGGAUAGCCUAUCGUGCUGUUAACAAGAAUCCGAUGUUGUUAAUCUUGAUAAAACUUUAAAUGUGUUAUGAUGUAUACGUUGUGUAGAAAAAAUUAAAUCAUGCAAAAUAAAACAUUUUAAUAUAGAGAAUGUAUGCUUUUAGAAAGCGGUCUCCUUAUUUAAAUAAAGUAUUGUUUGUUUGUAGUUAGUGUUGGGCAAUCUUGGGGGGAUUCUUCUCUAAUCUUUCAGAAACUUUGUCUGCGAACACUCUUUAACGGACAAGAUCAGGAAUUGAGCGGAAGAACGAAUUUAACUUUAAGGCAGGAAAAAUACUUUAUCCUUCGUAAAGUGAUGAGCAUUUAAUAAUUCCAGGCACAUGGCAAUAGAGGCCCUCUAAAUAAGGAAUAAAUACCUCUUAGACAGGUGGGAGAUUAUGAUCAGAAUAACAGGUAACUGCACCUACACUAUUUCCAGAAAGUUAGGGGUCUAUAAAUUGACAGUGGUAGAGUAAUAAAAUACUGCCCACAUUUCCAGAGUUUGCAUGUUAACUUUAAAUGCUAAUAAUCAUCUCCUCUGGUGUUAGCCAAUGUUUACACAAUUGGCCUUUAUAUUUGGUGGGGGGCGUGUGGGUUUUUAAAGAAUUUUCCUUUGCAGAGGCUUCAUUUCACAUCCUUCAUGGAGCUGUUCAGGAUUUUGACUUGCAUAUAAGCGCUUGGCUCUGCCUUCUGUUCUCCUAGUGAGUGUGUGAGACCUGGCAGUGUAUCAGCAUAAUACUCAAGUAAAGUUUUCCCCCUGAUUUUGGAGGGAAGGGAGGAGGGGGUGGGGCUUACUUGUUUUAGCUUUUUUUUUUACAGACCACACAGAGAAUGCAGUUGUCUUGACCUCAGGUCUGUCUGUUCUGUUGGCAAGUAAUGCAGUACUGUUCUGAUCUGCUGCUAUUAGAAUGCAUUGUGAAACGACUGGAGUAUGAUUAAAAGUUGUGUUUCCCCAAUGCUUGGAGUAGUGAUUGUUGAAGGAAAAUCCAGCUGAGUGAUAAAAGGCUGAGUGUUGAGGAAAUUUCUGCAGCUUUAAGCAUUCGUGUUUGUGAUUGAAGCCAAGUACCUUUUGCUGUGCUUCUUUAGGUAAAAUGCUUUUUGUUCACUUCUGGUAGGGGGGUGGGGGGGCACUGAAGCCUUUAGUCUUUUCCAGAUGCAACCUUAAAAUCAGUGACAAGAAUUAAAUUCCAAACAAGCAACAGUCUUCAAGAAAUUGGCAAGUGGAAAUGUUUACCAGUUCAGUGAUCUUAGUGCAUUGUCUUUGUGUGGGUUUCUCUCUCCCCUCCCUUGGUCUUAAUUCUUAUACGCAGGAACAUUCAAAACAGCAGACGUAUGCGAAGGGCCAGAGAAGCCAGACCAGUAAGGAAAAAAAUAGCUUAUUUACUUUAAAUAAACAUUCCAUUUUAAAUGUGGGGAUUGGGAACCACUAGUUCUUUCAGAUGGUAUUCUUCAGACUAUAGAAGGAGCUUCCAGUUGAAUUCACCAGUGGACAAAAUGAGGACAACAGGUGAACAAGCUUUUUUAUAUAUUUACAUACCAAGUCAGAUCCAUUAUGAAUGAUCUAGUGUUAAACAGACUUUUCAGCUUUAUGCUGGAAUAAAUAGCAUGUGAGCAAGCUGUUUGUUGGCCUGGGGGUGGAGGGGUGAGGUGGGCGCUAAGCCUUUUUUUAAGAUUUUUCAGGUACCCCUCCCUAAAGGCACCGAAGGCUUAAAGUAGGACAACCACGGAGCCUUCCUGUGGCAAGAGAGACAACAAAGCGCUAUUAUACUAAGAAACCUGUUAAAAAGCAAGGUCUCCCCACAAGUGACUUCUCUGCCACAUCGCCACUGCCUGCCUUUGGCCUAGCGCAGACCCUUCACCCCUCACCUCGAUGCUGCCAGUAGCUUGGAUCCUUGAGGGCAUGAUCCGUAAUCGGUUUCAAGGU